AGUGAACGCUGGCGGUAGGCCUAACACAUGCAAGUCGAACGGCAGCACAGUAAGAGCUUGCUCUUACGGGUGGCGAGUGGCGGACGGGUGAGGAAUACAUCGGAAUCUACUUUUUCGUGGGGGAUAACGUAGGGAAAAUUACGCUAAUACCGCAUACGACCUACGGGUGAAAGCAGGGGAUCUUCGGACCUUGCGCGAUUGAAUGAGCCGAUGUCGGAUUAGCUAGUUGGCGGGGUAAAGGCCCAUCAAGGCGACGAUCCGUAGCUGGUCUGCGAGGACGAUCAGCCACACUGGAACGGAGGCACAGUCCAGACUCCUACGGGAGGCAGCAGUGGGGAAUAUUAGGCAAUGGGCGCAAGCCUGAUCCAGCCAUACCGCGUGGGUGAAGAAGGCCUUCGGGUUGUAAAGCCCUUUUGUUGGGAAAGAAAAGCAGCAGGUUAAUACCCCGCUGUUCUGACGGUACCCAAAGAAUAAGCACCGGCUAACUUCGUG
rnacentral:rRNA from 1 species